GUAGUGGUGGUUCAGUGUUAGAAUUCUCAUCCUCCAUGCGGGAGACCCAGGUUCAAUUCCUGGCCAACGCA
rnacentral:tRNA from 1 species